CGGCGAGUGAAGCGGGAUGAGCUCAAAUUUGAAAGCUGGCAGUAAUGUCCGCGUUGUAAUCUCGAGAAAUGUUUUCCGCGUUGGACCACGUACAAGUUCCUUGGAAUAGGAUGUCAUAGAGGGUGAAAAUCCCGUACUUGAUGUGGACGCCCAGUGCUUUGUGAUACAUUUUCGAAGAGUCGAGUUGUUUGGGAAUGCAGCUCAAAAUGGGUGGUAAAUUCCAUCUAAAGCUAAAUAUUGGGGAGAGACCGAUAGCGAACAAGUACCGUGAGGGAAAGAUGAAAAGCACUUUGGAAAGAGAGUUAAACAGUACGUGAAAUUGUCUAAAGGGAAGCAUUUGAAGUCAGACGUGUAUUGUAGUAUUCAGCCUUGCUUUUGCUUGGUGUAUUUGCUAUAUUACAGGCCAACAUCAGUUUUGAGUGACGGAUAAGGGUAGAGAGAAUGUGGCACCUUCGGGUGUGUUAUAGCUCUUUACUGGAUACGUCGUUUGGGACUGAGGAACGCAGCGCGCCGUAAGGCAGACCUUCGGGUACUUUCGCGCUUAGGAUGUUGGCGUAAUGGCUUUA
rnacentral:rRNA from 1 species